rnacentral:rRNA from 1 species
GAUGAACGCUGGCGGCGUGCCUAAUACAUGCGAGUCGAGCGAACAGACGAGGAGCUUGCUCCUCUGACGUUAGCGGCGGACGGGUGAGUAACACGUGGAUAACCUACCUAUAAGACUGGGAUCACUUCGGGAAACCGGAGCUAAUACCGGAUAAUAUAUUGAACCGCAUGGUUCAAUAGUGAAAGACGGUUUUGCUGUCACUUAUAGCUGGAUCCGCGCCGCAUUAGCUAGUUGGUAAGGUACCGGCUUAUCAAGGCAACGAUGCGUAGCCGACCGGAGAGAGUGAUAGACCACACUGGAACUGAGACACGGUCCAGGCGCCUGCGGGAGGCAGCAGUAGGGAAUCUUCCGCAGUGGGCGGAAGCCUGACGGAGCAACGCCGCGUGAGUGAUGAAAGUCUUCGGAUCGUAAAACUCUGUUAUUAGGGAAGAACAAAUGUGUAAGGAACUAUGCACGUCUUGACGGCACCUGAUCAGAAAGCCACGGCUAACUACGUG